GCUUUUGACAUUGUCAAUUACAAGUCGGCACAAAAACAAAUCAUCUCGUUUAGUGCUACACCGACCCGACCCGACCCGACCCAUCGCGGAUCCGACUGUCAUUUGGCCCGUCCAUUUUCAAUUUCCUUUUAGGCGGUUAAACUCGUACCUGUCGUCGCGACACCAUUGCACUCUUUUCUCUCUCUCUCUCUACAACUGCAACCCGAUCAUUCAUUGCCCAAUCUCAUCCUAGAUCUGAAAACCCUCGCUCGAUCGCCACGUCAACGAAACCUAGAAAGCGAACGAUCACGCCGCGAGGUUUCUCCUCGCCGCCGUCGGGGACGUCCGGCGAAGCCGAAUGCAGCGUCGUCGUCAGCCUCUUCGACUGGAUGCAGAAGAGCGAGUCCGCCGCUCCGAAACGCUCGCUCCGAGUUUCCGCGAGUUUCUCGACACCGUUUGCAUGGCCAGGGACUACUUCAGCGCCGUUCUCGCCCGAACCUCCCUCUUUCGAUCGCGAGCGCCGGCACGUAAGGCCUCGAGGAGUCCGUCCUCGCCACCUGCGCCGUCGAACGCUCUCGGCAUAUCCCGCGACGCCGAGGACGCUAUCCGCCUCUUCGAUAGUUGCCUCGAAGGCCACAAGUGCAGUGCCUAUGCCAGGGCGUGCGAUUUCGCACUUUUCGCCGCUGAGGGCAGGAAAAAGAAUGCAUUGGAGAUGAAGUGGAUUAUCAUGAUAAUUGUUAAAGCAAAAGGACAUUUUUCCAUGGAUUAUCAUGAUGCUGAGGAUUUGUUCAAUGUCGCUUGUGAUCCGAAAUUUGUCUGCAAGAAGCUGAGGGAUUGUGGCUUACGGCAUAAGCGACAGGACUUUUCUGGAUCAAACACAAUAUGGACCGGAUUGUUGGAUAUUAUAAGCAAUAUAUUGUGACCAAUAGUUUCCAUAUAGGUGUUUGCUGCACCAUUGGGUCUAAGAUUCACACGAAUUGACAAGAGUUUGAUGGGAUAAAGCUUUGCAUGAGUGCCUUGAUGUCCAAUGCAAGAGUUUUUGGUGAUUUGAAGCCUUUUUAAGGUUCCAACAUAAUCUCAUAUGCUGAACUUUUGUGGAACUAGUACCCAUUCAAGCAAUGGUACUACACAUGGACUGGAGAACAAAGCAAAAGCUGGCAAGUGGGCAAAAAGAAGAGAUCUUCUGAUAAAGGAAAGGGAGAGAAAAGGAACUCGAACCUUGUCCCUUUAAAGUGGAGCUAUAAGGAUGUUACUGGAGAGCUGCUUAAAAUUCUGUCAUUUGCAAUCGUAGCGUGCUAAAUUGGAGUCUGUAAUUUAUAUGAUCGAUGAGCUCUUCAUCCUUCAAUAGUGUCUUUUUUCGUGUUCUAGUUUUCUUUUUUUCCUUUUCUAAAGUUGUACAUAUAGCUAGUUUGUCCUUUAAAAGAAGAAGGGGUUAGAUUGUCCCUGCCUGGG